CCCGAUUGCUGCAUUAAAAACACCCUGGGGAGGGGGGUGGGGGGGUGGAAGAUCCCCCCCAUUGCCCCCACGGGGUCACCCUCUGGGGAUCGAUCCCGCUCAUGACACCACUCACGUCCCUCCCCGAUGCCUUUGGGAACAGCCCCAUCCCCACCGACAGACCCACGCAUCCUUUCCCACACAUGUCCCGAGUUGGCCAGUGCUCUGCCAGGAAGAUGGUACCAUGCAGAGCCCACAGGGAAUGUGCCGGGGAAAACUAAUUAAGCCAGCCUUGCCAAUUAGUUCCAGUGAGCAGCUCAGGACUUUCUAAUUAGUUUAAAUUUCACAGGACUGUUUUCCAAAUGAGUCUCCGGGAGCUGCUCUCAGCCCAGCGACCUGAGGAUGGCUGCUGGGCCAGCUCUCGCAGUGAGGACGUGACCUUCCCAGCUCCUCCAUCUGGAUCUGACCCUGUGGAGGACCCAGACGUGCCGCAGGACAUCGGUUACGCCCUGCAAGAGCUGCUACCACCCGCAGCCUGAGAACAAGCAACUCAUUACACUGAACAGGGAACUCCUUCUAGGACAGCUCUGGGAAGAGGACAUCUGAUUAUGUCCUGCAGUGCCUUUUUAUAUUGCCUGAUAUGCUGACUAUUUCUGUACGGCUGUUUACACCCGCCGGUGCCAGUGCUGCCCAAACGCCUUGGGUGAAGGUGCUGUUUUCAGAGGGCCCGCGGCCACCCAGCACCCCCAGAUCUUUCCUGCUCGUGUCAGGCUGAGCUCGCCUGCUGCAACAGCUUCACCUGGGCAAGCGUUGUUUCCAAACCUGAGAAUGGAAAAUGACUUGAAGCAACAACAAAAUCAAGUAUCGAAUAAUGGGGUUUUUUUCCCUCUGCCAUUGAGAGGGGCUCAGGGCUGCACUGGAUUCUCAGAUCACUGCAAAAACCCACCAGGAUGCUGCGUGCCCUGGCACGUGAGCUGGGACAAGCGUUUAGAAACCAUCUUCUCCCUCUGCCAUGCGAGAAACACCUGGGUGAUGGCAGGAAAGAUUUUCUUUCUGCAGUUUUAAUGUUUUCGGAUGGCUGCUGGCAGGGCUGGCAGCCCCAGGGGCAGCUCAGCCUCUGGCAUGGCCGAAGCUUUCCAGGCUUUGGCGGCAGCAGCCUGGUGCAGCAAAGCCACAGCUAUUGAAUUUUUUUUUUUUUUUCCCCCCAACCAAACCCUUAUAAUAAUAAUAA